AUUGAACGCUGGCGGCAGGCCUAACGCAUGCAAGUCGAGCGGAUGAAGGGAGCUUGCUCCUGGAUUCAGCGGCGGACGGGUGAGUAAUGCCUAGGAAUCUGCCUGGUAGUGGGGGAUAACGUCCGGAAACGGGCGCUAAUACCGCAUACGUCCUGAGGGAGAAAGUGGGGGAUCUUCGGACCUCACGCUAUCAGAUGAGCCUAGGUCGGAUUAGCUAGUUGGUGGGGUAAAGGCCUACCAAGGCGACGAUCCGUAACUGGUCUGAGAGGAUGAUCAGUCACACUGGAACUGAGACACGGUCCAGACUCCUACGGGAGGCAGCAGUGGGGAAUAUUGGACAAUGGGCGAAAGCCUGAUCCAGCCAUGCCGCGUGUGUGAAGAAGGUCUUCGGAUUGUAAAGCACUUUAAGUUGGGAGGAAGGGCAGUAAGUUAAUACCUUGCUGUUCUGACGUUACCAACAGAAUAAGCACCGGCUAACUUCGUG
rnacentral:rRNA from 1 species